rnacentral:rRNA from 1 species
AUUGAACGCUGGCGGCAUGCCUUACACAUGCAAGUCGAACGGUAACGGGCCUUCGGGUGCCGACGAGUGGCGAACGGGUGAGUAAUACAUCGGAACGUGCCCGAUCUUGGGGGAUAACGAGGCGAAAGCUUUGCUAAUACCGCAUACGAUCUACGGAUGAAAGCAGGGGACCGCAAGGCCUUGCGCGGACGGAGCGGCCGAUGGCAGAUUAGGUAGUUGGUGGGAUAAAAGCUUACCAAGCCGACGAUCUGUAGCUGGUCUGAGAGGAUGAUCAGCCACACUGGGACUGAGACACGGCCCAGACUCCUACGGGAGGCAGCAGUGGGGAAUUUUGGACAAUGGGCGCAAGCCUGAUCCAGCCAUGCCGCGUGCAGGAUGAAGGCCUUCGGGUUGUAAACUGCUUUUGUACGGAACGAAAAGCCUUCUUUUAAUACAGGAGGGUAAUGACGGUACCGUAAGAAUAAGCACCGGCUAACUACGUG